UACAGAGGUCUCAAGCGUUGUUCGGAAUCACUGGGCGUAAAGGGUGCGUAGGUGGCGAGGUAAGUUUGAUGUGAAAUCUCUGAGCUCAACUCGGAAACUGCAUUGAAUACUACUUUGCUUUGAGGUUUGGAGGGGGGACUGGAAUUCUUGGUGUAGCAGUGAAAUGCGUAGAUAUCAAGAGGAACACCAGUGGCGAAGGCGAGUCCCUGGACAACACCUGACACUGAGGCACGAAAGCUAGGGGAGCAAACAGG
rnacentral:rRNA from 1 species